GGCGGCGUGGCUAAGACAUGCAAGUCGUACGGGUGUAGCAAUACACCAGUGGCGAGCGGGUGAGUAAUGUAUCGCUAACGUGCCCCUAUGUCCGGGAUAGCCGUCCGAAAGGACGGGUAAUACCGGGUAAGACCACAGUCCCGCAUGGGACGGUGCUCANAGGGAAACCGCAAAGGGAGCGGGCGAUAUCGUAUCAGCUAGUUGGUGAGGUAACGGCUCACCAAGGCGACGACGCGUAGCCGGGCUGAGAGGUCGGCCGGCCACAUUGGGACUGAGACACUGCCCAGACUCCUACGGGGGGCUGCAGUAACGAAUCUUCCGCAAUGCACGCAAGUGUGACGGAGCGACGCCGCGUGGAGGACGAAGUUCUUCGGAAUGUAAACUCCUGUCAGGGGCAGCCAAGUUCUGAGGCGCCCCAGAGGAAGGCACGGCUAACUCUGUGCCAGCAGCCGCGGUAAGACAGAGGUGCCAAGCGUUAGGCGGAAUCACUGGGCUUAAAGCGUGUGUAGGCGGGCGGGCAAGUACCUUGUUGAAAUCCCACGGCUCAACCGUGGAACGG
rnacentral:rRNA from 1 species